GAAAGGCCAAUCAAACCGGGAGAUAGCUGGUUCUCCCCGAAAGCUAUUUAGGUAGCGCCUCGUGAAUUCAUCUCCGGGGGUAGAGCACUGUUUCGGCUAGGGGGCCAUCCCGGCUUACCAACCCGAUGCAAACUGCGAAUACCGGAGAAUGUUAUCACGGGAGACACACGGCGGGUGCUAACGUCCGUCGUGAAGAGGGAAACAACCCAGACCGCCAGCUAAGGUCCCAAAGUCAUGGUUAAGUGGGAAACGAUGUGGGAAGGCCCAGACAGCCAGGAUGUUGGCUUAGAAGCAGCCAUCAUUUAAAGAAAGCGUAAUAGCUCACUGGUCGAGUCGGCCUGCGCGGAAGAUGUAACGGGGCUAAACCAUGCACCGAAGCUGCGGCAGCGACACUGUGUGUUGUUGGGUAGGGGAGCGUUCUGUAAGCCUGUGAAGGUGUGUCGUGAGGCAUGCUGGAGGUAUCAGAAGUGCGAAUGCUGACAUAAGUAACGAUAAAGCGGGUGAAAAGCCCGCUCGCCGGAAGACCAAGGGUUCCUGUCCAACGUUAAUCGGGGCAGGGUGAGUCGACCCCUAAGGCGAGGCCGAAAGGCGUAGUCGAUGGGAAACGGGUUAAUAUUCCCGUACUUGGUGUUACUGCGAAGGGGGGACGGAGAAGGCUAUGUUGGCCGGGCGACGGUUGUCCCGGUUUAAGCGUGUAGGUGUGUGUUCCAGGUAAAUCCGGUUCACUUUAACACUGAGGCGUGACGACGAGGCACUACGGUGCUGAAGCAACAAAUGCCCUGCUUCCAGGAAAAGCCUCUAAGCAUCAGGUAACAUCAAAUCGUACCCCAAACCGACACAGGUGGUCAGGUAGAGAAUACCAAGGCGCUUGAGAGAACUCGGGUGAAGGAACUAGGCAAAAUGGUGCCGUAACUUCGGGAGAAGGCACGCUGACACGUAGGUGAAGUGAUUUACUCAUGGAGCUGAAGUCAGUCGAAGAUACCAGCUGGCUGCAACUGUUUAUUAAAAACACAGCACUGUGCAAACACGAAAGUGGACGUAUACGGUGUGACGCCUGCCCGGUGCCGGAAGGUUAAUUGAUGGGGUCAGCGCAAGCGAAGCUCCUGAUCGAAGCCCCGGUAAACGGCGGCCGUAACUAUAACGGUCCUAAGGUAGCGAAAUUCCUUGUCGGGUAAGUUCCGACCUGCACGAAUGGCGUAAUGAUGGCCAGGCUGUCUCCACCCGAGACUCAGUGAAAUUGAACUCGCUGUGAAGAUGCAGUGUACCCGCGGCAAGACGGAAAGACCCCGUGAACCUUUACUAUAGCUUGACACUGAACAUUGAGCCUUGAUGUGUAGGAUAGGUGGGAGGCUUUGAAGUGUGGACGCCAGUCUGCAUGGAGCCGACCUUGAAAUACCACCCUUUAAUGUUUGAUGUUCUAACGUGGACCCGUUACCCGGGUUGCGGACAGUGUCUGGUGGGUAGUUUGACUGGGGCGGUCUCCUCCUAAAGAGUAACGGAGGAGCACGAAGGUUGGCUAAUCCUGGUCGGACAUCAGGAGGUUAGUGCAAUGGCAUAAGCCAGCUUGACUGCGAGCGUGACGGCGCGAGCAGGUGCGAAAGCAGGUCAUAGUGAUCCGGUGGUUCUGAAUGGAAGGGCCAUCGCUCAACGGAUAAAAGGUACUCCGGGGAUAACAGGCUGAUACCGCCCAAGAGUUCAUAUCGACGGCGGUGUUUGGCACCUCGAUGUCGGCUCAUCACAUCCUGGGGCUGAAGUAGGUCCCAAGGGUAUGGCUGUUCGCCAUUUAAAGUGGUACGCGAGCUGGGUUUAGAACGUCGUGAGACAGUUCGGUCCCUAUCUGCCGUGGGCGCUGGAGAACUGAGGGGGGCUGCUCCUAGUACGAGAGGACCGGAGUGGACGCAUCACUGGUGUUCGGGUUGUCAUGCCAAUGGCACUGCCCGGUAGCUAAAUGCGGAAGAGAUAAGUGCUGAAAGCAUCUAAGCACGAAACUUGCCCCGA
rnacentral:rRNA from 2 species